CCUACGGGUGGUAGCAGUGAGGAAUAUUGCUCAAUGGGCGCGAGCCUGAACCAGCCACGUAGCGUGAAGGAUGACUGACCUACGGGUUGUAAACUUUUUUUAUAAAGGAAUAAAGUGCGGCACGUGUGCCUUUUUGUAUGUCCUUUAUGAUUAAGGAUCGCCUAACUCCGGGCCAGCAGCAGCGGUAAUACGGAGGAUCCGAGCGUUAUCCGGAUUUAUUGGGUUUAAAGGGAGCGUAGAUGGGUUGUUAAGUCAGUUGUGAAAGUUUGCGGGGCAACCGUAAAAUUGCAAUUGAUAAGGGCAGUCUUGAGGACAGUUGAGGUAGGCGGAAUUCGUGGUGUAGCGGUGAAAUGCUUAGAUAUCACGAAGAACUCCGAUGGCGAAGGCAGCUUACUAAACUGCCACUGACAUUGAUGCUCGAAAGUGUGGGUAUCAAACAGGAUUAGAUACCCGGUAGUC
rnacentral:rRNA from 1 species